rnacentral:rRNA from 1 species
CAAUAGCGUAUAUUAAACUUGUUGUAGUUAAAACGUUCGUAGUUGUAUGUCUGUUAUGCGUCUGAAUGGUCCGCUUCGGUGUGUGCCGUUCGUCCAUGACAUCCGUUUGCACAAUUCGUUGAGCAAACCGUUCACUUUGAGGAAAUUAGAGUGUUCAAAGCAGGCGUUGCCUUGAAUACUUCAGCAUGGAAUGAUAGAUAGGACUUCCGUUCUAUCCGUUGGUUCUAGGGGCGUGAGGUAAUGAUAAAUAGGGUCGGUCGGGGACAUUCCUACUGAGCAGUCAGGGGUGAAAUCCUGUAAUUUGCUCAUGAGGCACUACUGCGAAAGCAUUUGUCAAGGACGACCCCAUUAA